rnacentral:rRNA from 1 species
UGCCAGCCGCCGCGGUAAUACGAAGGGUGCUAGCGUUGUUCGGAAUUACUGGGCGUAAAGGGCGUGUAGGCGGCACAAUUAGUCAGGCGUGAAAGCCCCGGGCUCAACCUGGGAACUGCGUUUGAUACUGUUGUGCUAGAGACCGGAAGAGGGUAGUGGAAUUUCCAGUGUAGAGGUGAAAUUCGUAGAUAUUGGAAAGAACACCAGUGGCGAAGGCGGCUUUCUGGACCGACACUGACGCUGAGGCGCGAAAGCCAGGGGAGCGAACGGGAUUAGAUA